rnacentral:rRNA from 1 species
UACAGAGGCGGCAAGCGUUUUUCGGAAUUAUUGGGCGUAAAGAGCACGUAGGCGGCCGUGUAAGUCGGUUGUGAAAGCCUUCCGCUCAACGGGAGAACGGCAUCCGAUACUGCAUGGCUUGAGUGCGGGAGGGGAGAGUGGAACUUCUGGUGGAGCGGUGAAAUGCGUAGAUAUCAGAAGGAACACCGGCGGCGAAGGCGACUCUCUGGCCCGUAACUGACGCUGAGUGUGCGAAAGCUAGGGGAGCAAACGGG